AUGGUGCUGGUGGCCCCUUGGUGGCCAUGGCUGUCCCCUGGCUCCUCCUCUGGUGGCCCUGUCCAUCCCAGUGGUGGCCCUGGCUGUCCCCGACGGCAGUGGUGGCCGUCCCCUGACUCCCUGUGCUGGCCCUUGGUGCCCCUUUGGUGGCCUUGGCCACCUCCUGGCUCUUCCUGUGCUGGCCCCAGUGGCCGUGCGGUGGCCUCGUGGUGGCCCUCUGGCCAUCCCCAUGGUGGCCCUGGUGACCCUGUGGUGACCGGCUGGUGGCCCUUGGUGACCCUUGAUGGCCCUGGCCGUCCCCUUGGUGGCCACGGUGACCCUGUGGUAGCCCUGGGUGGCCUCUUGAUGGUCCCGUCGGUGGCCCCGGGUGACCCCACAGUGGCCCCAGUGGCCCGUGGUGGCCCGUGGUGGCCCUUGGUGGCCCCGCGUCCCCUCCGGCUCCGGUUUCGUUGGUUUGACGCACUCGACCCAAAGUUGGUUUGGCAGAAUUUGGGGGGGGGAAGGGGAAGGGAGGGACCCCCCCUAACCCGGGGGGCUGAGGGGGACCCCAAGAUCCGGGGGAGGAGGUUUUCCCCCUCCGCACCCCCAAAUUUGGGGUCCCUGAGGAAGUUUUGGGGUCCCCCCAUGCUAAGGGAGGGGGGAGGGGAACCCCAAAACUUGGGGAGGGGCUGGACCCCCCCGUGUGUCCCCAGAACCCCUGAGGGGGUCUGGGGGGGGUCCCCAAAACCCGGGGAGUUCCCUGAUACCCUGGGGGUCCCCAAAACACAGAGGGGCCCCCAAAGUAAGGGGACUCCAAAUACUGGGGGGGUCCCCAAAUUUGGGGGAUCCCCAAUAUCCUGGGAGGGGAUCCCUGGACCCCAGGAGGGGGUGCCCAAGGUCCGGGGGGGUCUCCAAAGUAUGGGGGACCCUCAGUCCUGUGGGGUCCCCAAGUUCACUGUGGAUCCCCAGAACUUGGGGGUCCCCAGUACCGGGGGAAGGGGGGGUCCCCAAAAUGUGUGCGGGGUCUCAACACCCCAGGAAGGAUCCCCAAGCCCCGGGGGUGUCCCCAGAUCGUGGGGUCCCGUCAAUUUUGGGGGGGGGUUCCCAGAACAGUUAAAGGGUCCCCAUUGCCCCCCCGAUUUUGGGGGCCCCCCCAUCCCUAUGUACAGCGUGUCGAGGCCCCCCCCGGCUGGGGUUGUGCUUCCGGGGGGGCCCCGCUGGCAUUGGGGGGACCCCCGGAGAGGGGGUGUGGUUUUGGGGAGGCCCCCCCGUGCCUCAGUUUCCCGGACGGGGGGGGAGGGCUGGUCCAUUUACAUCUAUAUUACAAGGAAAAUGUGUCUCUUUGUGGGGGGGUCCCCGUUUCGGGGGGGUCCCUGCUGUGGGGGGCCCCCUCAGUUUGGGGGGCUGUCAGUGCCGCCCCCCCCGUCUCGGUGCUGCCGAGGCCAUCGGGGCCCCCCUGGGAUGGCUUUUGGGGGGCCCCAGAAUGCGGCUGAGGGAUCCUCCCCAAACGCCCCCACGCAGGGCGGGGGCACGAGGGGCCGCCCGUGCAAGGUCCGGGUGCAAAGUCCUGGUGCGAGGGGGGACACGGCUGAGCGAGGUCCCCAGGCGAGGUCCCCACGUGUGGCGCCAGGUGAUGGAUCCUCAGGUGCACCGGGUGAUGGAUCCUCAGGUGCACCGGGUGGAUCCUCGGGCGAGGUCCCCACAUGUGGCGCCGGCCGGAUCCUCGGGCGAGGUCCCCACGUGUGGUGCCGGGUGACGGAUCCUCGACAGGUCCCGUGGUGA
ensembl:lncRNA